rnacentral:lncRNA from 1 species
AGCUUUAGAGAGAGAGAGAGUGAUCUAGAGAGAAAUGGAGAGGAGAAGAAGAAGAAAAGGCGUAGAAAACAUCAAGCUUUCGGUAAACAAUUUAAUAUUUACUUUUAAGCAUCUUAAUGAGCAUUUAUAGAAUGAAAAUUAAUGAGGUUUAAAUUGAUGAUUUGCAUGGUUGAAUUUUAUGCCUAAACUAAGUAAUUUUAUGUGAUAAUGCAUGCUUUAUAAUCCUAUAUGAACUUGUUAAUUUACAUGUGUAAAUUUAUAUGAUUUGAUGCUCGAAAUAAAUGUUGAUAUGUGAUGCUAUUAAUGGUAGAAAAAUGAUUAAGCAUGAAAUGAUAUAUAAACAUGAGAAAUAUACAUUUAUAUUGGCAUGUAUAUUCAUAAAGUGUUUCGUUAGACUUUUUAUCUCUGAUGAGAGUGGUAUUGCGAUAUGAUUGUAGGAGUCAUCGCUGGCGAAAUACGUCCAUAGCCAUAUUUAACAUGUAGGACCACUGUCGUUGACAUGGCUGUAGUCAUGGAUCAUAUCAUGGUGUGGCAAGCCGUAAAUGUGCUAUUAGUUUGGCAAGCCACAAAUUGUUGUUAUAAAUAAAAUGAAUUGGUCAUUCCACAUGGGUAGUCGAAAACCCGUAUUGCCCUCAGUAGAUGGAAGUCGGAACGACUUUACGAAGAAUAACACGAAAGACAAUGCACAUUUAUGAUUUGUUUGAUGUUCUCUAUUACUAGCAUGAUAUAUUUGACUGACAUAACCAUGACGUGAUGG